UCCUCACCCUUCUAGAUAUUUCUCUCUCUCUUUCUCUCCGCAGUCCGCACACAAUCAUACAAUUCUACUUCCUCAAGCUCUCAAACACCAAAUUCAGAUCCAAAUAACAACAAGAACACUAGCUUCUGAGGCAGAUGCUUGGUGGUUCACUAUUUUUUCUGUUGUUUCUCUGUCUUUAAGCGGUGAUCGAUAAAAGGAUUCAAAUGACGGUACAAGAGGGUACUGGUUUUAGCUUGGAUAUGACUACCAUUGGGCAUAUUACUUGAAUCGAUAAUUUUAAUGGAAGUAUUGAUGAACCUUUAGAAGAUGGGUGCAAUGCUGUUCAUAUUACUUGUCGGUAUGGCCAUCUGUCAUGUGUGGAGCUACUGUUACAGAGGGGAGCUUCUUGUGCCCUGGUGUUCCUACAUUUGAAAAUACCAUUCCUGCUCAAACCUUAACUUUUCUCACCAAACUUAAAUGGUUCAAUAUGGAUAUUGUGGAAAGGGAAUGGAUAUUGUGUUAUGUUAGAAAAGAAUUAGUCGACCUCUAGAAUUGCAUUGUGAAGUCUCCAGACAACUCAGUGGUCUUCCAUAUAUUACAGCUGCACUACCAAGUAUUAUGUUAAAGAAGAAAGAAGAAAGUAUACUACUGAUUGAAGCAGGAUAGCCAAUGUCAACUUUGAGCAAUUGAGUUUGAGAGUUUGGUUGCAAGAAGCAGCAUAAGCUACAAAAAAAAAAGCAUUAACUAAAGACUUGGAUUGGUUGUUGGAAGGACACAAUAUAUGUUUAUGUUUUACUGUGCGUAUUGUAAAGAGCAACUUUCGUCAUAUUCAUACAUAUAAAACCUUUGAAUUGUUAA